rnacentral:lncRNA from 1 species
GAGGGAAUCAGAAUUGUGUUUCAAGAGCGUCACUAUACGGUUAGGAUGGAAGACAGAUUAGAGGAAAUGCGAGUGGAUAAGGCAAGAUGCAUUUGGAAGACAGUCAAGAGUUUAACCAGAAAGAGAAGACAUGUCAGUAAUUGCCAUCAUGGGAAGCAGUGAGAAGCACCAGAAUUGAGAAACCAAGUACUUUAAGAGUUAGAGGAGGGAGACACACCCUGUCUAGCUGAGGUUCAUGGAAGAGUUGGUAUUCAACUGGGAGGGAUUUUAUCAGUAGAGGAGCUGAGAUUGAGAAUGGGGUUGAGGAAGAGAUAAGUCAGGAGCAAAAAUACGGAAGUGAGGGAGCCUGUGACUGAAGAGCAACAUGUAGAUCAAUUUGAUGAAAGCACUAGGUAGGGGCCAGCAAAUACUGGUUUGCUUCUGUUUUCCAGAGAACCUCGAGGAGACAAGGUAGAAAACCAAUCCCAAAUGAACAGGAGUACUACUGAGACCUGUACUGAAUAAGACAAGAGAAACUCAGUGAGCUAAACUAGGGUAUAAGCCACUUGCAGGAGCAGAGCAGGGUCAGGCAUUGGUCUGACUUGCUGUGAAGACUUUAAGCUGUGAACUCAUAGGACUUGGAUUCCACUUGUCAGGGAGUUUGAUUGGUUCAGAAUCUGGGGCAGGAUGGAACCUGCAGGAAAAAGCUGACUGGCCCCGUGUGAGACAGGUGACACUGGAGGAAUGAAGAAUAGGCACCCUCAGAGGUUUAGGCUGGAGGCUUGGUGAGAAUAUCAACCCUGACCCAUAGAGCUACUGAAAUGUAUGAUACUACAGUGAGCGCCAAGGAUACCUUCCCAGCCAAACAUGCCAAGGAAUAGUCUGGGGAUGGCUAGUGAACCAAGCUUCACAGGUAGCCCCAGUUCUUCAUGAGAGACACACUUGAGUUGCUGGCAAUAAUAUUCUUACUGUCCAAGGUUAAGUGGCCCUAUGUCUCACAAGGCCCCAUUCAGGGCUUAUCAAGCCUCUUGAAUAUUCCAUCAAGUUAGUCUGAAACUCUAGAGUAUUUACUUUAUAUGUUCUGAACUUAACAGGGCACAUUCUGUCUCUAAUAUCUUGGUUCUGAGUACCCAUCCUCACUAGGACACUAGUGCCAUCUUGCUAGCUGGUCCAUGAGUUACAUAAUGAUGGAGCAUCUCAUAUGUGUAGUUCUGUAACAGUGACCAAGCAGUGGACAUUCCUAUCCAUUCAAGGCUGAACAUGUGAUGGAGCAAGGCAUGUCUGCACAGGGCCUAGCAUGAAGGGGUUGAACCCUUAUAACUUGGAAACUAACUGAAUGGGAGAAAUGAGAUGGAAUAAGGCACUGACGUUGGUGCAAUUUCUGAUUAUAUUUUGUUGCCAUUUAACUUGUUUUUACUGUAUGCCACACCCUGUGGUAACUCGUUUCAUCUGCACAGUGACCCUUGAAAUGCCCACAGUAUAGACGAGAAAACUGAACUCCUUAGAAUUGACGUAUCUUGCCCAAGGUCAUACAAUGAGUGAAUGGGGCAACCUGGACAUGGACUUCAGUCUUCCUGAGCUCAGAGCUGACCAAAGACUCUGUCUAAACUUCCAAGACCCUUUUCUCCCAUUGGUUGAUGCACAUGGUAUUGAAAAAUGUCGAGCAUUCUCUUUCUCUGUUGAAAAGUUCUGCCUCCCAUUAGUUAUGAAGGGAAUCCUACAGAAAGGGGUGAGUCCCUUAAAUUCUUCAAUUGAUUAUGGGAGGUUAGCAAAAAAAGAGAGUUUAUGAACCCAUGAAACCUUAGGUUCUAUCUAUCAGCUGUGUCUUACUGAAAUCACCUCUUGAACCAGGACCCUUCAGACAUAGCAAUUCAUGUCCUCAGUCUCUGGACACAAUGGAAUCCUCAUUAUAAGGCCUUCCACACAAAGAUAAUAAUAGUGGUGCCUCUCCCAUGUGUGUUCACAUUUUUGAGAAAAAAUAUUCUUGCAGCUAUCAAAGCACCUGCUAAUCAAAGAUUUCGUAUUCCCUGUAAUUUGUUUUUAAUCUUGUAAAGCCGACUACUUUCAAAUAGGACUCAGAGUGUCAAAGGCUGAAAUUCAUUUCCUUGAACUUCAUUUAACUGGGCCACAGAAUCAUUCUGAGAGAAUCAUUUAAAUUAAUAUGUGGCAUUACGGUGUUAAAAAGAAAAAAAUUUUGUCCUAAUUCCCAAUUUCAGAGUUUCUCCAGACCUCCAAUCUGGGCUCUGACCCCAUAAUUGUGUGCAGCUGAGCUGCUGACAAGUCCACACAUAUUCUGAAGUCACAUUUUCUGGCUCUGGGGCUCCAAGGACUCACAAAGAGGAGGAAUUUUUUUUUUUUAAUCCCUGCUUGUUCCGUCAACUAGUUCACCGGUUAAACCCUGAUUGAAUGUAGAAAUUUUAGAAAUG